CAUCACCUUACAUACUAGUCAGACUAUUAUUUUUUACGAUAAUAGAUUAAAUCUGUUUCUAAACAGCAACGUUGACAAAGCGUACAGUGAUCUAGUAUUUGUAUAUUAUAUUAGACAGUUGUCGACGUUCUUAGGUGUAGUGCUUGCUUAUCGUAUCGGCUGUUUAAAAUUAUUUAUAUUUUGUGCAAACAGAUGUGUUGGCACGAAAGAAGCUAUUUGUCCUGUUCUUAAACAUUCAUUGAUGUAGGAUCUGUUUAAAAAUCAUAACAGGAACUGCUAAAAACAAUCGCUCGGGUCGCGCGAUAUGGGGCGCGGCGCGCGCUGGCGCG